CAGCUCUCGGAAAGGAAACAUUAAUCUACCAACGAGUCGGAAACGUGAUCCACUGAGAAGAAUCGGUGAGAAAAGCAGGGGUUGUUUUUCUGGGUUAAGUUGCACACCAAAGCCUACACAGUCGCAUUUGACGGAUUUCACGAUAAUGAUGACGGGUGCUUGGAAUGCCUAAAAGCACCAAUAGAGCAUCGGAAACGACGUAUUUAAGACGACGGAGUCUGUGUGUUGCUUAGUCGUCUGGACGGGUAUUACCAGUGCCAGUUCAUCCAGAGAUCUGUUUUGCCACGUACGAUCCGGCUUUGGAAUAAGCUCACACCUACGGUGCUUCCCGAGUGUUAUGACACGUUCUUCUUCAAACGAGGCUUAUGGAGAGUGCUCAGCGGUAGGCAGCGGCUAGGCUGUGCUCCGGCAUUGGUGACGUCCAUGAGCGAGGUAACCACUUAUCAUGUAAAAUAAAACACAAAAUAAAUACACACACAACCAAACCACCGAAUUAAGUAUAAGAAUGUUGUUCAUACAUCUUUGCGGAAGAGCGGAUGACCGCACUCCCUGACCCGCGAUGGUUGUGAUCCAGUGCGGUGCUCAGGGUGUAUGAGUUGGCUGCGCCUUCUAGCGCCGAGCACGGUCUGAGCCCAGAGGUCUUGACAUCUGGUGAUGUCAAGGUGGCGCAGAAACAUGCGCUCCGCUCGAUACGUCUAGCUUUGCCCCCGUUCUACCUCGGAUGAGCUCUACCAGCCCAAGGCUCGGACGCGGGAUGUUUAGCGAUAGGGGGCUUUAGUCAGUUUAACUCUGACAUGCCUUGGCUACCGCCUCCAACGCGUAACGUAAGUCCGACCAUUUCCUCCCUUUACAAAAAGUUCUAACAAU